GAUGAACGCUGGCGGCGUGCCUAAUACAUGCAAGUCGAGCGAACAGAUAAGGAGCUUGCUCCUUUGACGUUAGCGGCGGACGGGUGAGUAACACGUGGGUAACCUACCUAUAAGACUGGGAUAACUUCGGGAAACCGGAGCUAAUACCGGAUAACAUUUGGAACCGCAUGGUUCUAAAGUGAAAGAUGGUUUUGCCAUCACUUAUAGAUGGACCCGCGCCGUAUUAGCUAGUUGGUAAGGUAACGGCUUACCAAGGCGACGAUACGUAGCCGACCUGAGAGGGUGAUCGGCCACACUGGAACUGAGACACGGUCCAGACUCCUACGGGAGGCAGCAGUAGGGAAUCUUCCGCAAUGGGCGAAAGCCUGACGGAGCAACGCCGCGUGAGUGAUGAAGGGUUUCGGCUCGUAAAACUCUGUUAUUAGGGAAGAACAAACGUGUAAGUAACUGUGCACGUCUUGACGGUACCUAAUCAGAAAGCCACGGCUAACUACGUG
rnacentral:rRNA from 1 species